rnacentral:lncRNA from 1 species
UAUUUCCCUGCUAAACCCCGGCGCCUGCCCCCCAAACCCGCAGCAGACUCACCGCGGGAGCCUCAGCAUCCCCUCUGCGCCCCGUUUCCACCCUUUACAGUGUUCUCCGAUUUUUCUGUAAUUUUUUCCCCAUAUUUCGGGCUGGACGCGGCGGGCCUGGAAAUUGUUUGCUUUCCCGUCUUUCCAGCAGCCAUUGUAGUGUAUGCGCUGCGGUGCAGCCCAGCCUGCCGCACACGCCGCGCCCACACCGCCCGCCGCCCACACGCACCGCGGGUUGGACGCCUCCCCCCGUCAGUCAGGGCCGCGGCCGCGCCCCGCCGCCGGCGCCUGCCGCCCGCGCCGCCCGCCCCGUUGGUGGAAGGCAGCGCCGCUCAAGGCCGGGGCGGGCCCGCCGCCGCCGCCAUUGGCGGCCGGGCCUUGCCACUCAGCGCCGCCGGGGCGUGGGCGGCGGCGGCGCUGGGCCGGGGGGAGCCGCGAGGCCGGGAGCGGGGUAGGCUGCGCCCGUACUUAAGCGGGCUGCCCGAGCCGCUGACGUCUUUCGAAUUGGAGACGGGCUGCCCCCCUCCCGCCCCGGGCUCCCGCGGACGCGGCCGAGCGACGGAGGUGAGUGCUGCCGCCGGCGACCCGCGCUGCCCUUCGCCCGCCUUGCCUGCCUGCUUGCCUGCCGGCCGGGCGCCCGCUUGCUCUUUCCUCGCCGGGGGAGGGAAGGCUCCGCUCGCCCUUCUCCCGCUCGCCGGCCGGCUGUGUGGGGAAGGGGGCCCGGCGGUGCGGUGGGGCCCGGGCACCGCGCUCCGGCGGCAGGUGGUGGUGCUGAGGGGAGGCGGCUGCGCGCGCCGGCCGUUGGGCACCGGCGGGCGGCCGUUGGGGCGGCGGCGGCCGUUACCCGCCAGAGGUGAGGCGAGGUUGGGGGGGUGGGGUGUGUGUGUGUGUGGAGAAGGGGGGCGCCGGGGCCGGCGAGGGGUAGGUAGGGGCCGGGUGGAGGGCGAGCGGGCGGGCUCCGGUGUUGCCCGGCCUGGUGGCGGCCUGCCCGCCCCCUGCUCCACACCUGACCGGCCCCCCCAGCCCCGCUUCUGGGAGGCUGAGGCGGCUCGGCCGUGGCCGAGCGUCCGUUCCCGCCGACUGCCCCCCCCCCCCCCCCCCCCCCCCCCCCCCCCCCCCCCCCCCCCCCCCCCACUCCCGGCUCGUCCCGCUGUCACAGAGACACAAGGACCGCCGGGGUUUUGUACGGCCUUCGCUCCAGGGUUUAAGGUUUAA